GGAAGUCCUGGCCCUGAAAGGUGGAGUCGGGGCGGGGCGGGCGGCGGCCGUUGCCAGGAUCCCGCGUUGCCGCCGGAGACCCGUAAUAUGGCGGGGAGGAGGAGGAGAAGGCGGCGGCGGACCGAGCUGUGCUCUGUCAGUACCCACUGAGCGUUUUGCUUCCUGACAAGGCCUGGCACAAGGGAAGAAAAGCCGACAGCGCCGUGGGAGAGCAGUACUGUUGUCAAGUGCCUACUGCCUGGUGAGCUGUUCUGUGUAACAAGGAACUGCUGGUGAGCAAAACUGAGAAGGUACCUCUGCUUAUGGAGUUUGCAUUUUGGUGGAAGAAGACAAACAAAAACCAGGAAAAUAAACGAGGCAAUUUCAGACAGUGUGUGAUUGUGGGAAGAUGGAGGAAUAUGAGAAGUUCUGUGAGAAAAGUCUUGCCAGAAUCCAAGAAGCAUCACCCACAGAGAGCUUUCUACCUAUCCAGUCUGAAAGCAUCUCUCUUAUUCAUUUCCAUGGAGUGGCUGUGCUUCCUCCACUGCUUGACACUGAAAAAAGAAAGGAAAUGCAGCAAGAAAAGCAGAAAGCACUUGAUGUAGAAGCAAGAAAGCAGGUUAAUAGGAAGAAAGCUUUACUGACUCGUGUCCAGGAAAUUCUUGAAAAUGUUCAGGUUCGAAAAGCUCCUAACACCAGUGAUUUUGAUCACUGGGAAACUGAUACAGUUUACUCUAAUUCAGAAGUCAGAGACUUGGAUGUUCCUGUUACAUCUCCAAAUAGCUUGCCAAGCCCUAUUGAACAUUUUCCUUUAGCAAAGUUUGAAAAGAUAACUAGAAUUUUGCCACUGACAAAUGGAGACCAAUGUAAAUCUAAUGGGAUAGCUAUAGCUAGGGACUCGGAAUUUAAUUCUCUGAAACAAUGUGCUAGUUCCAAUAUCAGCCACACAGAAAAUGAAGCUGCUCCAAAGACCUCCACAGCAACACUUCAGGAGACUCUUAUUUCUGAUGGUCUCCUUCCAACAAAUGAGGAACAGAAUUUAUCACUUUUGGAAGUCACUCCAGAUCCCUAUGUAAUAAGCCUUCAGAACCUGAUGAAAAAGUCAAAGGAAUUUAUAGAAAAACAAUCUAGGCACAGUCUGAGGAGCACAAAGAGGAGUAUUAAUGAGAGUCUCUCAGACAAAGAAAAUGAUGUUAAAGUGACCGAUUGUGUAAAGGAGAAGACCCCCUUGAUGGACAAACACUGUGGUUCAGUUAUUCCAGACAAACCAAGCCUUAAUAAAUCCAAUGUUCUUCUCCAGGGUACUUCCACUCAGGCAAGUAGCACGAAUGAUGUGUCAGUUUUGGGUAGCUUUUCUAAAAUGGACAUACCUGUACAAACUGGCCACCCCAAUGUUGUAGAUCCUGAUUCUGAUUUCAAAGCCAUUCCUACUUUUGCUACUGAAAAUAAUGUUUUCAAAAGUCUUACUGGUCCAUAUGCCAAAUUACCUAGUCCCGAGCCAAGCCUGAGUCCUAAAAUUCAUCGAAGGCGUUCUAGGCCAUCAUCAGCAUGUCACAUACUUAUAAAUAACCCAAUAAAUGCCUGUGAAUUAAGUCCUAGAGGGAAAGUACAGGCAGUGGCCUCAGUUGUUCAAAAUACUGAUGAAAAAGCAAAUGUCUCUGAAACUGUGCCAAAACCACCCAUUGACUUAACAGGAGCUUGUUCAAACAAGGUUUAUGUUAGCAAAAACACAUCAGAAGUUGUUGAUGAAAUGGUGUUAGGUAAAUCAAAUCUGGCCUGUCAGCCUUCAGGAAAUCUGUCAGAAAAUAGUCAUGGACUUGAUAUUAUGGAAGAUCAGUUAGCAUCUGAUGAGAGAGGCCCACACAGAAUGGGCAGCACGGGUACUGCAGUGCCAAGAUUGCAAGAGCCUUAUGCCACUAGUCAGUGUACAGCAAGUCAAAAUUUGGGGACUGUCAGUGGACGCAAGUCAGCCACUGUGUUAGAGAAAAGCUGCAAUUUACAAAUGGAACUGAAUAAGUCUUACGAUGUAAAGAACCCCUCGCCUUUACUAAUGCAAAACCAGAAUACCAGUCAACAGAUGGACACCUCUACACACUCCUGUGGACAUGAACAAUUUUUGGAUAACAGUUUUGAGAAAGUUAAACGGAGACUUGAUUUAGAUAUUGACAGUUUGCAAAAAGAAAACAGCCCUUAUGUCAUAACAGCUGGGAUAGUUGAACAGGAAAGACAACUUUUGCCAGAAAAAAGAUACCCUAAGGGAUCUGUCUACAUUAACAAGAAUAAAAUGUUAGAAAAUAGUUUCAAAGAAGGUGAGGAGAUAUUAAAAAGCAAACUGCUAGCUUUUGAAGAAAUGCGGAAAAGAUUAGAAGAACAGCAUGCCCAGCAAUUAUCACUACUCAUCGCUGAGCAGGAAAAAGAACAGGAAAGACUGCAAAAGGAAAUAGAAGAACAGGAGAAAAUGCUAAAAGAGAAGGAGAUGAUUACAGCAGAAACUUCUGAACUGGACAAGGCAGUGGACUUGGAAUGGAGAAAAAUAAGUGACUCUGGUUUGCUAGAAACAAUGCUGUCUCAGUUGGACUCACUCCAUACUUCCAGUGCAAACAGUUCUGCAUUCACAAACUCUGCCCUACAACAUAGCUUUGGUUCUGCAAAUGAAGCACCAUUCUACCUCUGGGGGUCCUCAACUAGUGGCUUGACCAAACACUCAGUAACACGGCCUCUUGGAAGAGCCAAAAUGAAAUGGUGUCAGGUUGUGAGUUCAGAAGUCCAAGCAAAAUUUAACAAAAUAACUGCAGUGGCAAAGGGAUUUCUUACUCGAAGACUUAUGCAGACAGAUAAACUAAAGCAACUCCGGCAAACUGUAAAAGAUACAAUGGAGUUCAUAAGAAAUUUUCAGUCAGAAGCUCCACUGAAGAGAGGAGUUGUGUCGGUGCAAGAUGCAUCUCUUCAGGAAAGAGUGUUAGCUCAGUUGCGAGCUGCCCUUUAUGGUAUUCAUGACAUAUUCUUUGUAAUGGAUGCAGCUGAAAGAAUGUCUAUUCUACAUCAUGAUCGAGAAGUUCGCAAAGAGAAAAUGCUCAGGCAAAUGGAUAAGAUGAAAAGUCCACGAGUGGCUCUUUCUGCUGCAACACAGAAAUCUCUUGAUAGGAAGAAGUAUAUGAAAGCUGCUGAAAUGGGAAUGCCAAAUAAGAAAUUUCUGGUUAAACAAAAUCCUUCUGAAACAAGAAUCCUUCAGCCAAACCAAGGACAAAAUGCACCUGUUCACAGGCUCCUUAGUAGACAAGGAACCCCUAAGACAUCAGUGAAGGGGGUUGUGCAAAGUAGACAGAAGUCUUCACAGAGCAGAGUGCCCAACAGAGCGCCUGUUUCAGGGUCCUUUAAAAGGUCAUCUUUUGGAAGUCACUGUGAGAGUGACAGCUGAAGAGCUUAUUCCAGAACUUCUUGCAGAGGUUCAGAAUCAGUUGGCCUGGAAGCUAACUACUAGGAAGCUGCUUGUGACAUUGUGUGAAAUUGAGUAUAUGCAGGAAAAAUCCAAAGAAAGCGGCCAAAUGUUGCGACAAUUUAAGAAGACAGCAUUCAUUAGGAUAAAAAAGUUGGGGAGGGUAUCAAUCCAUAUUAUUUUUCCUGUUUAAAACUUUUAUUUAACCCUCAGCUCUGUUUACAUAGGCAAAGUGACAUCAAAGGACUGAGCAGUUACCUGGCUACCUUGGUCUGUCUGGCGAAGGCCUUUCCUACACUCCCAUUUUCCGUAUAAUACUAGGUUUGGGUGAGGACAAAUUAAUGUUUAGUGAUUGCCUUUUCUCUAUGCUUAAAACCUGUGUUUGUCCUGAAGUAGAAAUUUCAUUGAUUUCUGCACACUAGUUGGUGAAUUUGAUUUAAAAAAAUACUAGAUACCGUUCUAUUUAAGGAGAACUUACUGCAGAUUUUUUUUUCUGAUUUUCUAAAUUUAAAAAUUCUGCUUACUCUCUCAGCCUCCAUAUAUUUGGAUUUAACAGUAUAAUUACACAGGAGAAAACCCCUACCUGCUGAUUGCGCUCCACCUAAAAUCUACCCCAGAAAUAGCAGGAGUCAUGGUUUUGGUCACAAGUACACAUUCCUCUCAAUAAAUAGUGAUUUAACAGAAAUGUUAGGUUUUAUGUGGGUUACCCCAGCAUUCUUAGAAAUAUGUCUACUAGCCUAUAAAAUCUACUGUGGUGGGAAGGAAUUUAGGGAAUACAGUACAAUUGUCUUGAACGUAGUAGCACUUUGGAGUGCAUUGCUACAUCUAUUUCUGUAAAAUACGGAUAACACACUGCAUGCAGUUUUAUUUUCCAUUUAUUCUGUAUAUUACUUUGUUUCGUCAGCUUCUGCUUUUUCUAGUGUGCUUAAUUUAGAAGAGAAUAAAGGGCUAUAAUACAUUCAGACUUUCAGGUUGGAGUAAUAUUGCCUAGCUGAAAUUCUGCAUUGUUUAAAGUCAUUACUAUGAAUAUAUUCAUUCAAAAUAUAAACCAAAAAUUAUCAAAGUAACACGAGUUUAUGAAAGAGAAUGUCACUAUUAAUUAUCAUAACAUUUCCAAAAAGGGCUUUGUUCUUCUCACAUAAAAUUGGGACUGUGUACAUUCAAUCUUUCUAACUUGGAUUUUAAAAAAGUACUGGUAUUUUGAAAUUGCAGACUAUAUAUAUUUAUUCUUAGUAUCCUUUUGAGAAUAUGGAGAUCCUGUCUUAUUCAAUUUUCUGUUCAAUUUAAAGUUUAAUUUUUAUAUCCUGCUAUUGACAUGGAAUAAUUACUCUGGGUAUAAAUUUAAUUUUCUUCAUUGGAAUGUAUAAUUUAUUAAAUGAGUGAACCAAAAAAUUA